GAUGAACGCUGGCGGCGUGCCUAAUACAUGCAAGUCGAGCGAACGGACGAGAAGCUUGCUUCUCUGAUGUUAGCGGCGGACGGGUGAGUAACACGUGGAUAACCUACCUAUAAGACUGGGAUAACUUCGGGAAACCGGAGCUAAUACCGGAUAAUAUUUUGAACCGCAUGGUUCAAAAGUGAAAGACGGUCCUGCUGUCACUUAUAGAUGGAUCCGCGCUGCAUUAGCUAGUUGGUAAGGUAACGGCUUACCAAGGCAACGAUGCAUAGCCGACCUGAGAGGGUGAUCGGCCACACUGGAACUGAGACACGGUCCAGACUCCUACGGGGGGCAGCAGUAGGGAAUCUUCCGCAAUGGGCGAAAGCCUGACGGAGCAACGCCGCGUGAGUGAUGAAGGUCUUCGGAUCGUAAAACUCUGUUAUUAGGGAAGAACAUAUGUGUAAGUAACUGUGCACAUCUUGACGGUACCUAAUCAGAAAGCCACGGCUAACUACGUG
rnacentral:rRNA from 1 species